AGUGGAUGGGGAGCAACCUAGUUGUGCGUGUGUAAAGGUAGUGCCAAGAAAAGCGAUGAUCAUGUUGAAAAUCAAUUCCCGGUACCCGAAACCGACACAGGUGGGCAAGUAGAGAAUACUAAGGGGCGCGAGGUAACUCUCUCCAAGGAACUCGGCAAAAUGACCCCGUAACUUAGGGAGAAGGGGUGCCACCGAGAGGUGGUCGCAGUGAAGAGGCCCAGGCGACUGUUUAGCAAAAACAUAGGUCUCUGCAAACUCGAAAGAGGAGGUAUAGGGGCUGACGCCUGCCCAGUGCCGGAAGGUUAAAGAAGUUGGUCAGUUUUAGGAUGAAGCUAGCGACUGAAGCCCCGGUGAACGGCGGCCGUAACUAUAACGGUCCUAAGGUAGCGAAAUUCCUUGUCGGGUAAGUUCCGACCCGCACGAAAGGCGUAACGAUCUGGGCGCUGUCUCGGAGAGAGGCUCGGCGAAAUAGGAUUGUCUGUGAAGAUACGGACUACCUGCAUUUGGACAGAAAGACCCUAUGAAGCUUUACUAUAGCUUGGAAUUGUGUUCGGGCUUCCUGUGCGCAGGAUAGGUGGGAGGCGUAGAAGGUAUUCUUGUGGGGAUACUGGAGCCAACGGUGAGAUACCACUCUCAGGAGGCUAGAAUUCUAACUUAAUUAAGGACAGUUUCAGGUGGGUAGUUUGACUGGGGCGGUCGCCUCCAAAAAGGUAACGGAGGCGUACAAAGGUUCCCUCAGACUGGUUGGAAAUCAGUCGAAGAGUGCAAAGGCAGAAGGGAGCUUGACUGCGAGAAGUACAGUUCGAGCAGGGUGGAAACACGGUCUUAGUGAUCCGACGGUGCUGUGUGGAAGGGCCGUCGCUCAACGGAUAAAAGUUACUCUAGGAUAACAGGCUGAUCUCCCCCAAGAGUUCACAUCGACGGGGAGGUUUGGCACCUCGAUGUCGGCUCAUCGCAACCUGGGGCGGAAGUACGUCCCAAGGGUUGGGCUGUUCGCCCAUUAAAGCGGUACGUGAGCUGGGUUCAGAACGUCGUGAGACAGUUCGGUCCAUAUCCGAUGUAGGCGUGAGAAUAUUGAGAGGAGCCUUCCUUAGUACGAGAGGACCGGGAAGGACGCACCGCUGGUGUACCUGUUAUGGUGCCAAUUGUAAACGCAGGGUAGCCAAGUGCGGAGAGGAUAACCGCUGAAAGCAUCUAAGUGGGAAGCCCACCUCAAGAUGAGUAUUCUGGUGUAAGGUCACGGGAAGACGACCCGUAAAUAGGCACGAGGUGGAAGUGCAGAGAUGUAUGAAGCCGAAGUGUACUAAUAGACCGUCGGCUUGACC
rnacentral:rRNA from 1 species